GCAUUGGUGAUUCAGUGGUCGAAUUCUCAUCUUCCAUGCUGGAGACCUGGGUUUGACCCCCGGCCAAUGUA
rnacentral:tRNA from 1 species